AGGCUCUGAAACAACAACAGAAUCAAAUGUACAGAAAAUGUAUUGAAUGUACAACUCAACAGUAACAAACAAUCUUUUAAUAUGUGAAAGCUGUUAAUGAUUACACAUUAAUAUCUUAUCAGUGAAAGGACAAUAACCCCAGAAAUCUCUUUACGUUGCAUCUUAUACAGCAAAAACAGCUUUUUUAUGAGGGCCAGUUACAAAGAUAAGGACAUAAAAUGUGUGCUGUAGGUUCGUUCAUACGAAUGAUAAAAGCAACCUUUGGACAUUUGGGGCAUUCUGUUUUGAUGUAAUUUUACAUUUAUCACCAUGUGUGCUGAAGUGCCAAGUGGAAAAUCUCUCAAUAAACUUUGAGUCAAAUAAAUUUUUAAAAGAUGUUGUGUGUGUUCUGUAUCAGAAAGAAAUCUGUUCCAAUCAUGUAUUUCUCAAUGCACUCAGACCUACCAAAAACAUUCUUUAAUUGGAUUUUAAAAUGUGUUUUUAGGCAGUUUUUUUUUCUUCGAUUUUGACACUGUAAAAAAGGAUUCAGGCCAUGUGGCAUAUAUUGUACACGGCACACUGAAAAUAAAAGUGUCUAUAGGUGAAUAAUCUAAAUAAAUCCACACUUAAUGCAAAAGACUACCAGUGUAUAUUUGGUAAAAAUCUGACAAUAUUCAAAGUGUCUUCACAGCACAACCAACACUACCAUUGAAUAAUCCAUCUGAAAUCACUGUACAGGGUUGUUCAAAAAGAAUGAACCAAUUUCGUUACACAAUAUUUUAAUAAGGAAAAGCAAUAGAAAACUCCAGCCAAGUCACAAGUAUUCUACUCACAAUCAACUUUUAUUUGACGUUAAAGGUCAUCGAAUGACAUCGAAUAACAACAGCGAUCGACUCAGUGGAUGGUGUUAUGCUGACAAGUGUGUGGGAGGAAUUCUCUCAUCGCAUUGAUGUUGCUGCAGGUGGUGACCCCAUUGAACACUUGUAAAACAGGAAAUAAAAGUUGAUUAGGAGUAGAACACUUGUGAUUUGGCUGGAAUUUUCUAUGGCUUUUCCUCAUUAAAAUAUUGCAUAAUGAAAUCAGUUCAUUCUUUUUGAAUAACCCUGUAUAUAUAUAUAUAUAUAUAUAUUGUGGUUUUCUUGAUGUCACUUAAAGUUUUCACACAAAAACAAACAUAUACUGGAUGGAUGAAGAAAAGAAAGUUACAAUAUUUUUUGCUUUCUUUGCUAGUCUACCUUCAUAAAGCCAGUGCAUACAGCAAGUAUCCAUUCACAGCAGCAAAUUAAAAAGAAAAAAAGUUAAAGUUUAACUCUAAUAACCUUUUAGUUCCGUAUUUCAAACUCUGCUUUGUCAUACUGAUAUCUGGAUGGAUUUCCACAAAAACCUGAACAAUAACAUAUUGGUUGGUUAAUUUAUUCAGAGUUUUGACAAAAUCUUUUAAAUGAUGUUUAUCGGUGCGUAUAUGACAUUUCACAGCAUUGUGAACAUCUCUUCAUCUAGUUUCUCUACCUUCCUGCCACAAAGAUUAAUAAAGUUAUUCCAAAUGA